CUGGACAGUAAAUCAAAAUAAAUACCGAAUAACACAAAGUAAACAAAACACUUUAAUUUAAUUCAGAAUGAAAAUUCUACAUGUGAACAGACCUGAAAAUAUAAACCCGAUUAUAUCAGGGCAUCUUCCGGAUUAAAAGCAAAUGUCAGUUAACACCAUGUCGUACAUUCAGUAUAUUUUAGUAGUAAACAUACAGAAAACUUAUUAUUAAUAUUUUAUUAUUGUAGGUAAACACACACACACACACACACACACACACACACACACACACACACACACACACACACACACACUUUGGUUUCACUCAAGUAAAAUAAAACAUUGAGUACACAAGGUUUAAUCACUUUACAUUAAAGUUCACGUCACUGAUCUUUAUCUAUUAACUCAAACUUUCAUGACGGGGUUCAUAUUAAAUAACGAACAGCUACACUAAUUCACGUUCAUCUCGGUGAGGAAAACAUCAUCUCACACUGAACAACUUUUAGAACUCCAUUAGAAUUCAGAACCGAGACUGAAAACCAGGUUUAAUAUUUACACCUGGAGGCCAGAGUUCAGCAAAUCAUUAACAUCUCAUUUAUGCUCAUUUAUUUUUAGUCAAGGGCUGAAUAAACAUUCACGCAGGUGCACUUCACCAACACUGAACCAAAGACAGACAGACAGACAGACAGAAGGGAGACGGAAGGAAGACGGAAAGACAAAGAAAGAGAUGGACAGACAAAGAAAGACAGACAGACAGAAGGGAGAUGGAAGGAAGACAGAAAGACAAAGAAGAGAUGGACAGACAAAGAAAGACAGACAGACAGACAGACAGAAGGGAGACGGUAGGAAGACAGAAAGACAAAGAAAGAGAUGGACAGACAAAGAAAGACAGACAGACAGACAGACAGACAGAAGGGAGACGGAAGGAAGACGGAAGGAAGACGGAAAGACAAAGAAAGAGAUGGACAGACAAAGACAGACAGACAGACAGACAGACAGACAGACAGACAGACAGACAGACAGAAGGGAGACGGAAAGACAAAGAAAGAGAUGGACAGACAAAGAAAGACAGACAGACAGACAGACAGAAGGGAGACAGAAGGAAGACGGAAAGACAAAGAAAGAGAUGGACAGACAAAGAAAGACAGACAGACAGAAGGGAGACGGAAGGAAGACGGAAAUUCAAAAAAAGAAAGCGACAGAAAGAAAGAAAGAGCUGGACCGACAGAAAGAAAGACCGAGACACAGAAGGAAGACAGAAUGAAGACGGAAAGACAAAGAAAGAGACAAAGAAAAAAAGACAAAAAGACAAAAGAAAGAGAUGGACAGACAGAAAGAAGAAAAGAAAGAAAAAGGGAAGAAAUGAAAAUGAAAAACUGGAAAAUGGAAGGGAGCACAAAUGGGGAAAAAAGGAAGAAAAAAAGAAUAAAAAAAGAAUAAUGGAAGCAAUAAAGAAAAGAGCAAACAAAAAAGGGAAAGAAAGAAGGGAUCAGAACGUCUAAAGGUAGGAAAGGAGGAGAGCCGAGGUGUAAUCUUACUGCGUUAAAUGGAGCAGUUUAUUCGCGCUGGAGUUUCUUUUAUGCUCAUUAAUUAAUCCGGUGAAUGAAUGUUAGUAAACUUUAAUGUAAAGUGUUUACUCAAAUUGAUUUUAAAGGCACGAGUUAAAUUUGGCCCAAAAACACACAGCAUGUGUUCGAGUCUGCGGUUCUGUUCGUCUUCGUUCUCCGACUAAACUCCCAGUCGAUAAAUCAGUGUGUGAAAUUACUCGUUAAAUCUCCAAAGUCUUUUCAUCUCCGACGCACCACCACGCACUCGUGGAAUGGUUUAAAUAUUGCCGUCGAGACUCGUUCAUGCCUCCAGAUUCGUGCUGUUAUUACAUUUCACAGAUUAAUCACAAGUUCUGCUCCGAUUUUAUAAAAAUCACUCAGCAUUCAUCCAAUAUUACAGAGAGAUGCAUAAGUUUGUGUUAUUUUAUCCUCCUCAGUCUGCGCCAAACUUUAAACAGGAGAGAUGUGUAGGAAGUGUCGCCGCGUUGUUCCGAGUCUGUGGAGCACAAAAUGAACAUUUCUGAGUUUCAGCUCGUACUUUCAGAGCCGCAAAGCGACACGAGCGACUGAACGCCGGCUGUAAUUUUCAAACCAAAAAAAAAAAAAACCACCCCACCACAACAGGAAGUGUCUGAUAAGUGCUCUGUCUGAAAGAGGAAACGUCCCGGUGUCUUUAAAAAGUCACAGAACCGAC
ensembl:lncRNA